rnacentral:rRNA from 1 species
AGAGUUUGAUCCUGGCUCAGAACGAACGCUGGCGGCAGGCUUAACACAUGCAAGUCGAGCGCCGUAGCAAUACGGAGCGGCAGACGGGUGAGUAACACGUGGGAACAUACCCCUUGGUUCGGAAUAACUCAGGGAAACUUGAGCUAAUACCGGAUAAGACCGUGAGGUGAAAGAUUCAUCGCCGAGGGAUUGGCCCGCGU